GAUGAACGCUGGCGGCGUGCCUAAUACAUGCAAGUCGAGCGAACAGACGAGGAGCUUGCUCCUCUGACGUUAGCGGCGGACGGGUGAGUAACACGUGGAUAACCUACCUAUAAGACUGGGAUAACUUCGGGAAACCGGAUCUAAUACCGGAUAAUAUAUUGAACCGCAUGGUUCAAUAGUGAAAGACGGUUUUGCUGUCACUUAUAGAUGGAUCCGCGCCGCAUUAGCUAGUUGGUAAGGUAACGGCUUACCAAGGCGACGAUGCGUAGCCGACCUGAGAGGGUGAUCGGCCACACUGGAACUGAGACACGGUCCAGACUCCUACGGGAGGCAGCAGUAGGGAAUCUUCCGCAAUGGGCGAAAGCCUGACGGAGCCACGCCGCGUGAGUGAUGAAGGUCUUCGGAUCGUAAAACUCUGUUAUUAGGGAAGAACAACUGUGUAAGUAACUAUGCACGUCUUGACGGUACCUAAUCAGAAAGCCACGGCUAACUACGUG
rnacentral:rRNA from 1 species